GUGCUCACUUCGGCGGCACAUAUACUAAAACUGGAAGGAUACAGAGAAGAUUAGCAUGGCCCCUGCGCAAGGAUGACAUGCAAAAAACAAAACAAACAAACAAACAAA
rnacentral:snRNA from 1 species